AGAGUUUGAUCCUGGCUCAGAUUGAACGCUGGCGGCAGGCCUAACACAUGCAAGUCGAACGGUAACAGGAAACAGCUUGCUGUUUCGCUGACGAGUGGCGGACGGGUGAGUAAUGUCUGGGAAACUGCCUGAUGGAGGGGGAUAACUACUGGAAACGGUAGCUAAUACCGCAUAACGUCGCAAGACCAAAGAGGGGGACCCUCGGGCCUCUUGCCAUCGGAUGUGCCCAGAUGGGAUUAGCUUGUUGGUGGGGUAACGGCUCACCAAGGCGACGAUCCCUAGCUGGUCUGAGAGGAUGACCAGCCACACUGGAACUGAGACACGGUCCAGACUCCUACGGGAGGCAGCAGUGGGGAAUAUUGCACAAUGGGCGCAAGCCUGAUGCAGCCAUGCCGCGUGUAUGAAGAAGGCCUUCGGGUUGUAAAGUACUUUCAGCGACUUCACCCCCCAUUUCCCAACACGACUUGACACUUGCCUCCCAUGCCAAUCUGGGGAUACAGAAUGCACCAUCCCUCACUGGACGCUUAUGUGCAUAUAAAGACCAGGUAACGUUCUUGCCGCCCAUGAAUUCAUUUGAUUUUCACCCGGUUUGUUAAGUCAGAUGUGAAAUCCCCGGGCUCAACCUGGGAACUGCAUCUGAUACUGGCAAGCUUGAGUCUCGUAGAGGGGGGUAGAUUUCAGGUGUAGCGGUGAAAUGCGUAGAGAUCUGGAGGAAUACCGGUGGCGAAGGCGGCCCCCUGGACGAAGACUGACGCUCAGGUGCGAAAGCGUGGGGAGCAAACAGGAUUAGAUACCCUGGUAGUCCACGCCGUAAACGAUGUCGACUUGGAGGUUGUGCCCUUGAGGCGUGGCUUCCGGAGCUAACGCGUUAAGUCGACCGCCUGGGGAGUACGGCCGCAAGGUUAAAACUCAAAUGAAUUGACGGGGGCCCGCACAAGCGGUGGAGCAUGUGGUUUAAUUCGAUGCAACGCGAAGAACCUUACCUGGUCUUGACAUCCACGGAAGUUUUCAGAGAUGAGAAUGUGCCUUCGGGAACCGUGAGACAGGUGCUGCAUGGCUGUCGUCAGCUCGUGUUGUGAAAUGUUGGGUUAAGUCCCGCAACGAGCGCAACCCUUAUCCUUUGUUGCCAGCGGUCCGGCCGGGAACUCAAAGGAGACUGCCAGUGAUAAACUGGAGGAAGGUGGGGAUGACGUCAAGUCAUCAUGGCCCUUACGACCAGGGCUACACACGUGCUACAAUGGCGCAUACAAAGAGAAGCGACCUCGCGAGAGCAAGCGGACCUCAUAAAGUGCGUCGUAGUCCGGAUUGGAGUCUGCAACUCGACUCCAUGAAGUCGGAAUCGCUAGUAAUCGUGGAUCAGAAUGCCACGGUGAAUACGUUCCCGGGCCUUGUACACACCGCCCGUCACACCAUGGGAGUGGGUUGCAAAAGAAGUAGGUAGCUUAACCUUCGGGAGGGCGCUUACCACUUUGUGAUUCAUGACUG
rnacentral:rRNA from 1 species